UAACUUUUCCUCUGGACAGGUUUUGAUAAAUCUCCCCCACUGAGUGUAUUCUACAGGACCCUGUCCUCUACAUAGACAGUGAUUAGCAGCUACCAUCAGCUCUUUCUUACUUCUAUAUGAAACUUAAGGUGGCCAUACUCUGUAAAUAACUGUUGCUGGGUCUGGCCGUGGCAUAUUUCCAACAGAACAAAGAAUCAGGCAUCUUAAAAUCCAACCAUUUCCAUGUGCGGCUCUGAGAGACAAGGCCCAUUCAUUUGAAGCUGAUCUAAGGCUUUCUCAAUAUAGACCAACAAAUGAGGUUUCUCAACAACACCGAGCACUAUGCAUGAGAAAAGCUGGAGAUGAACGCUACCCUAGAAAUAGAAAAAGCAAGAUUUAGGUUUUAGCUGCACAGAUUGCUGGCCCAUAGCUAUAUACCCAAUGCAACAAAUAGGAUUACCUACGGCCAAGGUCUUAUGAUUAUCCUGUAAGAAUUUGAAGACACAAGUGCUUUCAGCCACUCUGUACAUAAAUCUUGUGAAUGUUCAGGCUCUACAGCAUUGAAUUUGUUGAAGAUAUACUUCUGCUAAGCAGGCUAUUUGUUAAAAGGCAAA